rnacentral:lncRNA from 1 species
UCACCUAAGAUCCACAUAAUGGGUAACGAGCUAACUGGCCAUCUUUUCUAGUAAGGACUUUUCCUGUAUGCAAUCUGCUUCUCAAAGCUAGCCAAAGAAACACUUUGACUUUCUCCUACAUGGCGGCUUUCCAAAUAGUUUUGUGGUAAGGGAGGAGGAGUCACCAUUAUUAAAGAAUUUGUAAUAGGAGUCCAUUAAAAAAUUCCAUUUUGGUUGAGCUUCCAUACUAGUAUAUCUGCAAUCCUAGUAGGUUUGAUAAAGCUAAGAAGAUCUUGGAGGCUGUCUAGCUAACUAGCUUCGUGAUGGGAAAGUGGGCCAUGCAACCUCAUGUUUCAUCUCUAGCUCCAUUGGGAUGCAGCAGAAACAUAAUGCUUGAUAGCUCUGUGAUAUAGAUCAGAAAAGAGUGAAGAUAGUUGAACUGGGCCAAUCCUUCCAAAAGCAAAUGCUCUUUCUGAAACUUUAAGGAUAUGCAAUUCCAAAAAGCAUCAAGAUCCUUACUGAUAUCUUUUCGGAUAGGAGAGUUUAACCAAGCUUCGAUUUACUCUCAUUCCAAGUAUUCUUGAGCCUUUGAUCAAUUUCCAGGCCUAUUUUACCAAUAAAGCGAGGUUCAUAAGUCUUAAAAUUUUUCAACCAUAAACCUCUUCUUCGUUGGAAUGACAGAUAUUUCCCUACUUUAUAAAGCAACGAAAUGCACUAACAUUCUCUUCCGCUUUCCACAGAAAAGCUGGCCUUAUUUGAUUUGUUGACAACACAUCUUGGCAG